UCGUUCGAAUCGUUCGCCAGCUCGAUGCAAAUUGAAUUUCAACUUUCCACGAAGAAGAAGAAUUCGAGAACUACUCUUCCCCAUACCGACCACGACAAACGAAAUACCUUCUACUCCUCUGUUUCCACGCGAAACGGAGCAUCGAAUCCACGAUCGAUCCGAAGAAGCAUCCUUUAACCGAUACUCGAUAAGACAACGAGGUGAAACACGAUGAUGAUAUCACUAUCCAACACCUUGCGACAAAAUGAAACACGUCAAGGCCAUUCUCGGAAAUAUCCAGAUAUAAUAUUAACCAGAGGAUUCGUGUGGAUAAAAAAAUUUAUAUCUGUCAAUGAUAACGGUAUGACGGUGAAACUAUUAAAGAGUCAAAAAUACACGCACGUGUGAAAUACGAAUCGUCCCCCGGAGGAUCAGAAAUUUUGUAAUUUGUACGUGGCUGGAUUGUAAAAAAAAAAAGUAAAA